rnacentral:rRNA from 1 species
AGUGAACGCUGGCGGUAGGCCUAACACAUGCAAGUCGAACGGCAGCACAGUAAGAGCUUGCUCUUACGGGUGGCGAGUGGCGGACGGGUGAGGAAUACAUCGGAAUCUACUUUUUCGUGGGGGAUAACGUAGGGAAACUUACGCUAAUACCGCAUACGACCUACGGGUGAAAGCAGGGGAUCUUCGGACCUUGCGCGAUUGAAUGAGCCGAUGUCGGAUUAGCUAGUUGGCGGGGUAAAGGCCCACCAAGGCGACGAUCCGUAGCUGGUCUGAGAGGGUGAGCAGCCACACUGGGACUGAGACACGGUCCAGACUCCUACGGGAGGCAGCAGUGGGGAAUAUUGGACAAUGGGAGCAAGCCUGAUCCAGCCAUACCGCGUGGGUGAAGAAGGCCUUCGGGUUGUAGAGCCCUUUUGUUGGGAAAGAAAAGCAGCAGAUUAAUACCCCGCUGUUCUGACGGUACCCAAAGAAUAAGCACCGGCUAACUUCGUG